rnacentral:rRNA from 1 species
GCUUAUCACCAUUCCAGAUUGUUUAUACCCGAUCUCGUCUGAUCUCGGAAGUCAAGCAAUCUCGGGCUUGGUUAGUACUUGGAUGGGUGACCGCUUGGGAAUACCAAGUGUGAUAAGCA